rnacentral:lncRNA from 1 species
AUUUAUAUAUAUAUAUAUAUAGAGAGAGAGAGAGAGAGAGAGAAAAGAGAGAUGAGCAGAAAUAUUACCAUCCAUUUGUUUUCAAUGAUAGAGCAUCCAAAUCCAAAGAUAGAGCAUCCAAAUCGACGAUCGACAUCGUUAAAUAUAAUUUAUACUACUUGAAAUAUCUAAAAACCAAAUUUCAAAUAUUUUCGACAUCAUUAACCUAAUGAUCAAAUGAUUUUAAAAUUCAUAAUUUUAAUGGUCAAUAUGAGACAUUUUCUAGUUUAAUGCUGUAAAAAUACUCAAAUCAAUUAAAUUUUGAUUAAAAAAUUCUUUAAACUAUUUAGAACAAGAUCUAUACCCUUGAUUUUCAUUACAAGACUACUAUCAUCACUUUCUAGAGGAUAUUCAUUUUCAGCAGUUUAUUUUUAUGCCUACUUGAUGGACAAGAGAAUAAUAUUGGAAAAGUAUGAAAUUUAAUUUUUAGAUGCUUUUAAGUCGUAUAGUUCAUGUUCAACAGUACCGAUCAUCGCUUUGGAGACUCCAUCGAAAAUAAAUGGGUGGCAACGAAGCCUGUUUGCUACCGAUAUCAUUACAGCUCAACUAUAUAUAUAUAUAUAUAUAUAUAUAUAUAUAUAUAUAUAUAUAUAUAUAUAUUAGGACUACUAUACUCUUAUGAGUAUUAGGCUAUUCGUACUCAUAAGUUGUUUUCGAUGAUUAGACUUCCGAAUCGACAAUCCAUUCCGUUAAAUAUGAUCUAGAGUAUUUUAAACUUCUAAAAAAUAAAUUUCGUAAUUUUUUGAAAUCAUAAUAAAGUCAAUCAAGCGGGUACAAAAUGAACGGUCGAAAUCGAACGACGUCCUAAAAAUGGAUGAUCAUGUAGUGUUCCGAAGGUUUGGAUAGGAUUGGCUACAGUAUUAGUGACUGGUCGACACAUUUGGUGAGUGUCGGACUGAGUCGGAGUCGUUUAUGCACGAAAUGGAUACAGAAAUGGACUCGGCGCACUCAAAUAAGCAAAACUGAAGUUUUGCCAGAUUCGGGUGCCCAGAACUGGGUUUGGGUCGCCCAGAACUUGAGUGCUGGUUUGAGCAGAACUGGAAGCCAAUUCGGAUUCUAGUUUCGGGCGCCCAGAAAAGGGUCCGAAAGUUUACUUCAUGAAUAUCGUUUGCACUGACACGUGGUUGGUGGUAGGUGAGGUCCGCCGGAGCAGGAUUUGGGCGCAGCACACCACGGGCGGAGGAAUCGAAGUAGAGUAUUUGUGCAGUCUGGAAGUUUCGGACGCCCAGAACAUGGUUUCGGGCGCCCGAAAGUGUCUCUUUCUGCAGGGAUAGCAAGUUUGAGUUGUGAGUUCCUGGGGCUUAUUGGACCAUUCUAACUCCCUAUAAAUAGGUGGAGUACGAUCUCUGUGAGCUCUUUUCACCUCUUCUUCACAGUGAAGGCCAAAAUUGCAUUCCAACCCCUCUAAUUACUCCAAAUUUCACAAAUUGAAGCUUGAGGACUCCAGUUUAGCAGUUUUCUAGCAGGACCUUCGGCGUUUUGACUCGUGUGCGAUGUAGAAAGGUCGAAUUGCUGUGAAACUUGGUUUGGUGAUUAGCUGACUUCUGGAAGAUUUCGUGGAGUCCAUUUUGACUACAUUUGAUUGAGGUUAGUUUGGUCAAAUUACUAUUCUUCUGGGCUGCUGCUGUUUUGGACCUGAAUUUGAGUUUUCUUUGGUUAUUAUGGACCAAUUCCUGGAGAGAGCUGAAAUUUCGACCAGAAGAAGUUGCUCCACCUUUCCCUACUGGUUUUAGAGGGUGUUCUUCACCUGAAUUUGGAUUUGGAUGUUGCUAGGUGAGUAUUAGCAUUGGAAUUGAAAGUUUAAGCUUAAGUGCUGAAUUUUGGGGUUAUUGACGCAAUUUUGAUGUUUUUGUGUUUUGAGCUUGGGAGGAAAUUGGAUUUGAA